rnacentral:rRNA from 1 species
AAUGAACGUUGGCGGCGUGGAUUAGGCAUGCAAGUCGUGCGAUAUUCCCUCGCAAGGGGGAUGAAAGCGGCGAAAGGGAGAGUAACGCGUGGAUACCUACCCUGGGGACCGGGAUAGCCGUGGGAAACUGCGGGUAAUACCGUAUAACGUCUUCGGACCAAAGGUGUGAUUCCGCCCUGGGAUGGAUCCGCGUCCUAUUAGCUAGUUGGCAGGGUAAUGGCCUACCAAGGUGAUGAUGGGUACGGGGUGUGAGAGCAUGACCCCGCUCACUGGGACUGAGACACUGCCCAGACACCUACGGGUGGCUGCAGUCGAGGAUCUUCGGCAAUGGGCGCAAGCCUGACCGAGCGACGCCGUGUGCGGGAUGAAGGCCUUCGGGUUGUAAACCGCUGUCAGAGGGGAGGAAGUACCGGGAAGUAAUACAUAAUCGACCCGGUUUGACCUAUCCUCAGAGGAAGUACGGGCUAAGUUCGUGCCAGCCGCCGCCGUAAAAC